rnacentral:lncRNA from 1 species
AGCUUUGUAUUUAAACUGGGAGUGCAACCACCCUAAUCUUACUUUAAGUUAAAUUCCUGUGUAAAUCUCUACAUAUAUUGCAACUUGUAAAAAUCAUAACUAAUUCACACAAACUCAAAAUCCAAUGAUUCAAAAGGCUAGAUUUUCGUAUUUCCGUCACCUACAUUGGUUUAGAAGGCAUCGGGGAGCCUUUUAAAGAACCCUUCUGCCCCAAAAUCACAAAAAAAAAAUACUGUCCUGUUUUUUGCCAAACUAUUUACAUCGGAGUUUGGAAGGCCAUAG